GGUCACUGCUAUCGGUGUUCGUCUAAGCCAUGCGAGUCAUAUGUUCUUUGGAACAUGGCGUACUGCUCAGUAACACGUGGAUAACCUGCCCUUGGGUCCGGCAUAACCCCGGGAAACUGGGGAUAAUACCGGAUAACGCAUAUAUGCUGGAAUUCUUUAUGCGUGAAACGGAUUCGUCUGCCCAAGGAUGGGUCUGCGGCCUAUCAGGUAGUAGUGGGUGUAAUGUACCUACUAGCCGACGACGGGUACGGGUUGUGAGAGCAAGAGCCCGGAGAUGGAUUCUGAGACAUGAAUCCAGGCCCUACGGGGCGCAGCAGGCGCGAAAACUUUACAAUGCGGGAAACCGUGAUAAGGGGACACCGAGUGCCAGCAUCAUAUGCUGGCUGUCCGGGUGCGUAAAAUACACCUGUUAGCAAGGGCCGGGCAAGACCGGUGCCAGCCGCCGCGGUAACACCGGCGGCCCGAGUGGUGAUCGUGAUUAUUGGGUCUAAAGGGUCCGUAGCCGGUUUGGUCAGUCCUCCGGGAAAUCUGACGGCUUAACCGUUAGGCUUUCGGGGGAUACUGCCAGACUUGGAACCGGGAGAGGUAAGAGGUACUACAGGGGUAGGAGUGAAAUCUUGUAAUCCCUGUGGGACCACCUGUGGCGAAGGCGUCUUACCAGAACGGGUUCGACGGUGAGGGACGAAAGCUGGGGGCACGAACCGGAUUAGAUACCCGGGUAGUCCCAGCCGUAAACGAUGCUCGCUAGGUGUCAGGCAUGGCGCGACCGUGUCUGGUGCCGCAGGGAAGCCGUGAAGCGAGCCACCUGGGAAGUACGGCCGCAAGGCUGAAACUUAA
rnacentral:rRNA from 1 species